rnacentral:rRNA from 1 species
CCUACGGGAGGCAGCAGUGAGGAAUAUUGGUCAGUGGGCGAGAGCCUGAACCAGCCAAGUAGCGUGCAGGAUGACGGCCCUAUGGGUUGUAAACUGCUUUUAUACGGGGAUAAAGUGAGGGACGUGUCCCUUUUUGUAGGUACCGUAUGAAUAAGGACCGGCUAAUUCCGUGCCAGCAGCCGCGGUAAUA